ACUCAAAUGAAUAGACGGGAGCUCACACAAGCGGAGGAGCAUGUUGUUCAAUUCGAAGCAACGCGAAGAACCUUACCUGGGUUUGACAUGCUGGAAGUAGAAUCCUGAAAGGGAAACGAUCGGUAUCCAGUCCGGAACCAGUACAGGUGCUGCAUGGCUGUCGUCAGUUCGUGUCGUGAGACGUUAGGUUAAGUCCUGUAACGAACGAAACCCUUGUCGUCUGUUGCCACCGGGUAAUGCCGAGCACUCUGACGAGACUGCCUAUGUUAAAUGGGAGGAAGGUGGGGAUGAUGUCAAGUCAUCAUGGUCCUUAUGCCCAGGGCUACAAACGUGCUACAAUGGCCGGUACAGAGAGUCGCAAAGCCGCGAGGUGGAGCAAAUCUUCAAAACUGGCCCCAGUUCAGAUUGUAGGCUGAAACUCGCCUGCAUGAAGUUGGAUUCGCUAGUAAUCGCGGAUCAGCUACGCCGCGGUGAAUACGUUCCUGAGCUUUGUACACACCGCCCGU
rnacentral:rRNA from 1 species